rnacentral:lncRNA from 1 species
AAAAAAACCCAUCAGAAGAGCAGGCCUUUUUGGGGGGUUCUGGUGAUGCGGAUGGAAUCUUGUGACUUUUCCGAGGUGGGGGCCUGGGGCGUUAUUGUGGCUCUUUUGACGGAAAUUCAUCACCUGGAUGCUUAGUCAGCAGAUGCUGUAACCUUGAGUUAUGUGUCAGCAUGUUCAGUGGACGCUUCCCAAGGCUUAAUAGUGUCAAUUCUGUACUUUUAACAGCUUUAUGGAUAUAAUCCACAUACCAUAUGGGCCACUCAGUUCAACAGGGGCGACUCAGUUAUUUUUAGUAAAUUUUGCGGAGCCGUAAAGAACCCUCAUGGCCACUUACAGGCACCGCCUGUUCCCGCCCCCGCCCGCGUACAUUCUGCUCCGUAGAGUCGCCCUUCCUGGGUGUCCUGGUCACUAGAACUGGACAGCUUGUGGUCUCUGUGGCUUUGUUUCUUCGCCUUUUAAGGCUGUACUUAGCUUUUGAGGUUGGUCCAUAUGUUAUAGCAACAUUUAUUUUUUAUACAGCUAAAAUCAGUAACUCCCUCAGCGUUGACACCUGUCUUCUUGGCUACAUCUGUGUGUCCUCUUGCUUUUAAAAGAUAAGGGGUCAGGAUAUCACUUUGCCAUGUGUGUUUGUUUUUUCAUUCUUCUAGGAUUCAGUUUCAGAAGGACCUUUAAUAAUAUUGUGUGGAGUUCCCCUGCGGCUCAGCAGUAAUGAACCCGGCUAGUAUCCAUGAGGAUGUAGGUUCAGCCCCUAGCCUGGGAACUUCAGAAUGCCCUAGGUGCAGCCCUAGAAAGAAAAAAACAAAAACAAAAACAAAAACUCAUUGUGUGGAAGAGUUUGAUCUCCUACUAUGGGGCCCCCAGCCCUUUUUUAUGCUGCUCAGCCCCCCUAAAUAGGUGGCCAGCAAUUGUAAAUAUUUUGCCCUAAAAGGUGUUUGGUCCAACAGAGACCAGCAGCUUCUUAAGACCAGCCCUGGGGCGAAUGUCUGCUUGAGUGCUUUCUCAUCAGCACCAGAGCUGGGUGGAGCAGGUACACAGGGGGGACCCAGCCAGCACAGCCUGUGGACCCAGUGCUGGGGUGGGGGAUCCAGGAGCACAGCCCGUGGACCCAGUACUGGCCUCCAUCAGAGACCUAAGUUCCCGUUUUUCAGCCUCACCGUCCCGGAGGUGCAGUGUCAGAACAGUCCCGUGAUAAAUCUGUGUGUGUGCAAAUUGGGGAAGAAAGUCCCAGUUGGAGUUUAAUACCUGAAAGGAGUGACAGGAAGCAUCUUGCAAGACAGCAGGCACUAGACCUGCUCUUGGUGCCACAGAGGACACAGCAGGGACAGUGACGGGACCGUGACCGCUCUGCUGAGGCAUCUCUCCUUACCUUUCUCAUGAUGGGAGAUAAACUGUCACCGAGCAGAGGUGGCAGCAUCCAUGGGAAGUGAGGUGAAGUGGCCCGGGCGGGUCCUGUUUGGUGGCGCAGCAGCUGAGCCAGAGGUGGGAAAGCCUGGCUGACUAGGGAGCCCCUCGGCGGGUCUGUGACGCAUGUCUGGAGCUGCCACUUUGCCAGAGGGCCCUUGGGUGGGGGUGGGGGGGUCGGGCCGCUCCCUCCGCAGGUCUAGAAGGACGUCUCAGCAGUCUGCAGUCUGUCUCGGGUCAGAUCCAGCACGGGGCAGACCCCUGGCCCCUGGCGUGGUUUGCUGAACCGCCAGCGAGGCUGUGCCGUGCCGAGGGGGGUCUCUCCAAGUGUCGUGGGGGUGACAGGCACAGUCGGGUGUGUGGUGGGAGGGCCUGGCCUCAGUCACGCGACCCCUUCUUUCGGGGCCGGCCCUGGCAGGUGUGAUUAGGAUGUGGAAUUUGUUUUCUUUUUAUUUUGUUGUCUUUCUAGGGCCGCACCUGCGACAUAUGGAGGUUCUCAGGCUAGGGGUCAGCUGCUAGCCCACACCACAGCCACAGCAACGCCCGAUCCUUAACCCUCUGAGUGAGGCCAGGGAUCGAACCCGAAACUUCAUGGUUCCUAGUCAGAUUCGUUAAUCACUGAGCCAUGACCGGAACUCCGGAUGUGAAAUUUUUUUGUGGUUUAAUUUCAGUGGCCCCUUCAAGCCUCAGACUUACUUCCUGUCUUUCUUGGGGCGGGUGGUGGGGUGGAGUCGCGUGGGGGGGGCUGGAAAGACUCUUCUGGAUGUUAUGACGUAGAGUUCAUCUCUGAGAAGAACCGCCAGGCUUCCCGGGUGGGGAAGUUUUCUUUGUAGGGUCCAGACUCUGUGUCCACAGGGAGGCUCUGGCUGUGUCAUUCAAGUACUUAUUUUUAUUUAUUUAUUUAUUUAUUUAUUUUAAUUCAUUCACAUACUUAUUGAGCUGCUAACAGCUGCCAUAUGCUGCCAGUACACGUGACAUCCUCGGGUUUCCUCAGACACGGGCACCUGUCUGGGGGGCCACCCCAGUGCCAGUCUUGGAGGCCUCCUGGCGGGGGGGUGGGGGGUGCCUUCCAGGCUGACCUUUAGCUGCAAGUAGGUUUAACCCUGGUCCAGAGGGUCCCAGACUUUCCCAGUUCAUGAGCCCUGCUUUCUCAGCAAGUCUUCUGUGGAACCCCUCGGCCAAAAGAAAUACCUAAUAAUUCCAUUUAUCAAGUAGUUUUAACGAGCUGUCUGCAAAAGGAUGUUUCUGCGGGUAGAGAGAGAAGAAAAGUAAGAAGAGCUUUGGCUUCUUUGGAAAUGAGUGCACUUGGUUUAGUCCGAAGGCGUCUGGACAUGAAUCCCCACAUCUUGGUGAAGAUUGGAUUUGGGGUGUUUUGUUUUGUUUUGUUUUAACCUAAAGUUUUACAAAAUUACGUGGGAUCACAAGAUGCCCAGAAAAUCGAAAUCUUUAAUUUCGCUUUUGUUGUUUCUGGACAAGAUUCUUAUGUCCUGCAGAGCAGCCCACGUGGACCGCGGCUGCGGUACCAGAGAGCUCGCCAGAUGCAUGCGGGCGCCCUAAUAACAGCGACAGAUGCACAGAGAAAUGUCCCAGCCCCAGCCUGGGCGGUCAAGAGCUUAGACGGAGGACCAAGCCGAUUUUAGGAAUUCAACUUGAAAAUGCAGUGUAGCCACAAAAACAUCAACAGUUGUCGUAAAGGCCCCAUUCCUGUUUCUCUGUUAAAUCCCAGCUGUGGUCUCAGGGACCUCAGGAGAACUUUGAGGUGUAAGGCUUUACUGCAUUCAAUUUUUAAUUUUAGCAGAUGAGUGUUUUUGUUGAAAUUCGAUUGUCUUACCUAAGAUGUGGGGUGAGGGGAUGAAAGAGGCAAAGAGAGUUCUCAGCAAAGGUGAGUCAGUAGAGGAAAAGGCAGACCUCUGUCGGGUACCCCUGCCUCCCAUCACCUUCAGUCCUGGCAUCGAUGUCACUUCCUGAGCGAGGCCAUCCAGGUGUCAGACUUCAGUACGAUUGCUUGUUUAGUCAGGUGUCUCCCCAAUGACACUGUUAACCUGUACGUGGUCCUGAGCUGCUUGCGUCACUGCCCCUAAAGAUUUCUGCCAAAGCACAGCCUCUUCCAUCAGAGUUCCAGGAGGGACCUGAGUUGAUGGCUAUGUCAUUCCAGUUCUGAAAUGGCCAUUGGAAAAGAAAGAAGCAGACUCAGGCAGGGUUCUGUUCUUGGGUUUGUUUUUGCAGGGGAGGUGUGAGGCAGGGUUGUUUUUUAAAAGACCGUCGGCUAGGGCUGAAUUCGUCACGUGGAAGCACACGCUUGAGCAGCUACUUGCCGGAUCUUGAACAGAUGGGAGCUGGGCCUGGAUCCACGGGAUCUUUACAGGCUUCUUUUAGGAUGACGGCUCUGCCAUAGCCACUUGGGUCCCCAGCCCUGAAAUUGCUGCCCCUGGGAGCAGCAGUCGAGUAAGACGCCCUGGGGACCCUCGGAGUCACCCUGGACGGAGGAUGUGCAGGCCCUGCAGCAGGUUCAAACUGCCCACACACCCAUAUCUGUCUGCAGGGCCGCAGGUCAGAGCAGAGGGAACACAGUGCUGCCCACGUGCCUGUCUCCAUAGCAACAAGGAUGCUCCUGGGCUGAGAACCCGGAGGAAGGAAGUGUCCUUUUGCGAUGGAGCAUCAUGAGGCUGAGAGGGCAAGAGGGAGGCGCAGGGCAGCUCAGGGAGGAUGCAGGUGUAGAGAGGAGGCCAACGGCAGAACACCUGUUCCACCCUGGCAAGAGGGGGGCUCUCCCGUCGCUCCUUUGGCCGCCAGACGAGCCUGUAAGCCAGAGAACUCAGGUUCAUCGUCUUACUAAUUCCUAUAAUGGCUUUAGCAUAAAAUCACUAGCAAUUAACAAUAAUUAAUCUAGCGAGCCUAUCCCUUAUUCUUAUUACAGUUUAUUUACGUUAUGAAGGAAAGGGGAUUGAGCAGAUAAUAGGAGAGUCUUACAGGAGACCAAGUUUUAAAUUCUGAACCACUUAGAGUGCCAUGCCUCCAGAUUUGAGAUGUCGCCUACUUACGUGUCACAGUCAGGACUGGAAGGAGUCCUAGAGCUUGUGUGGUCCCUCUAUAGGGAGGGAAGAUGGAGGGCACUUAAAAAUGAAGUAACGGAGGAGUUCCUUUCCUGUCUCAGUGGUUAACAAAUCUGACUAGGAACCAUGAGGUUGAGUGUUCGAUCCCUGGGCUCCCUCAGUGGGUUAAGGAUCCAGCGUUGCCGUGAGCUGUGGAGUAGGUAACGAUGCGGCUCAGAUCCUGUGUUGCUGUGGCCGUGGUGUAGGCUGGUGGCCACAGCUCCGAUUAGACCCCUAGCCUGGGAACCUCCACAUGCCACGGG